GAAGGUAGGCCCUUCGUUGUCGGUUUACAGCGCAGCAUGUCCCGAUAUGUCGGGAAACAGCCAAUAAACAACCUGCGGUGCUUCACAGUCAAUGGUGAGGUAUCGAGCGAUCAGGGAAAAGGACCGCCAGCAGGCGGAGCAUG
rfam:Sporocytophaga myxococcoides DNA, contig: Contig48_05, strain: PG-01.